AUGACGAUGGUGGAGGGUCAGGGUCAGGGGAUUAGCGAAAUAAGAAUCUUGACCACAACUCAGUCAAGUAGGAGUGUUGGAAGACCUCUAAAAAAAGCAGAAACCAGCGUAGUUAAGCGCGGAAGGGAAAGUAGUGCAAGUAGAGGGAAAAAUAAGCGACAGAAAAAACGUUCAAACAAAUUAUUUUCAGUUUUUUAG